rnacentral:rRNA from 1 species
UACGUAGGGGGCUAGCGUUGUCCGGAUUUAUUGGGCGUAAAGAGCGUGUAGGCGGCCAUGUAGGUCCGGUGUGAAAACUCGAGGCUUAACCUCGAGAUGUCAUCGGAAACCAUUUGGCUAGAGUCCGGAAGAGGAGAGUGGAAUUCCUGGUGUAGCGGUGGAAUGCGCAGAUAUCAGGAGGAACACCAAUAGCGAAGGUAGCUCGCUGGGACGGUACUGACGCUAAGGCGCGAAAGCGUGGGGAGCGAACAGG